AUCUUCUGAUUCAUCUGAGAACAAAUCCGGAAAGGAUGGGGUUAUGGACAGAUCUGGAUUUGAACUACAAGGUCAUAAAGGUGAUGAUGGCUAUCAUGACACCGCUUCCAGAUUGAUCAAGGUAAUGAGUUAUAAUGUCUGGCCCGUGAAGAAGUAGAGGUGAUUGAGCAGAUGGAAGCCAUUGGCGACCUAAUUCAGAAGCACUCCCCUGAUAUAAUCUUCUUCCAGGAAAUUACACCAUAUAUUUAUAUAAUUUUCUAUCACUCCCAAUGGUGGAAACUCUAU